rnacentral:rRNA from 1 species
GAUCAAGCGUUAAGGGCAUUUGGUGGAUGCCUUGGCACUGAGAGGCGAUGAAGGACGUGGCACGCUGCGAUAAGCCGCGGGGAGGUGCGAGCAACCUUUGAUCCGCGGAUUUCCGAAUGGGGAAACCCAGCCCUUAUGGGUCAUCGCUGGCUGAAUCCAUAGGUCAGCGAAGCGAACCCGGGGAACUGAAACAUCUCAGUACCCGGAGGAAAGGACAUCAACCGAGACUCCGCUAGUAGUGGCGAGCGAACGCGGACCAGGCCAGUGGCUCGUCGAAGAUCAACCGGAACCGUCUGGAAAGGCGGGCCAGAGUGGGUGACAGCCCCGUACGGGUAAUGUCUUCGACGGAUCCUCGAGUAGGGCGGGACACGUGAAAUCCUGUCUGAACAUGGGGGACCACCCUCCAAGCCUAAGUACUCCUCAGUGACCGAUAGUGAACGAGUACCGUGAGGGAAAGGUGAAAAGCACCCCGAUGAGGGGAGUGAAACAGUUCCUGAAACCGAAUGCCUACAAACAGUCGGAGCGGCCUUCGGGCCGUGACGGCGUACCUUUGUAUAAUGGGUCAGCGACUUAGUCUGACGAGCAAGCUUAAGCCGAUAGGCGGAGGCGCAGCGAAAGCGAGUCUGAACAGGGCGUUGAGUUCGUGGGAUUAGACCCGAAACCGAGUGAUCUAGCCAUGGGCAGGUUGAAGGUGCGGUAACACGCACUGGAGGACCGAACCCACGUCUGUUGAAAAAGACGGGGAUGACCUGUGGCUAGGGGUGAAAGGCCAAUCAAACUCGGAAAUAGCUGGUUCUCCGCGAAAACUAUUUAGGUAGAGCGUCGAGUGAUUACCGCCGGGGGUAGAGCACUGGAUGGGCUAGGGGGCCGCGAGCCUUACCAAACCUAACCAAACUCCGAAUACCGGCGAGUACAGCACGGCAGACAGACGGCGGGUGCUAAGGUCCGUCGUCGAGAGGGAAACAGCCCAGACCGCCAGCUAAGGUCCCCAAGUCGUGGCUAAGUGGGAAAGGAUGUGGGAAGGCCAAGACAACCAGGAGGUUGGCUUAGAAGCAGCCAUCCUUUAAAGAAAGCGUAAUAGCUCACUGGUCUAAACAAGCCGUCCUGCGCCGAAAAUGUACCGGGGCUCAAGCCACGCACCGAAGCUGCGGGUUGACCGACCUUCGGGACGGUCAGUGGUAGCGGAGCGUUCCGUAAGCCUGUGAAGGGGUCCCGUGAGGGGUCCUGGAGGUAUCGGAAGUGAGAAUGCUGACAUGAGUAGCGACAAACAGUGUGAGAAACACUGUCGCCGAAAGUCCAAGGGUUCCUGCGCAAGGUUAAUCCGCGCAGGGUGAGCCGGCCCCUAAGGCGAGGGCGAAAGCCGUAGUCGAUGGGAACCAGGUUAAUAUUCCUGGGCCUGCUGGUGGUGACGAAUGCCGUAAGUUGUCUGUCCUUAUCGGAUUGGGCGGGCAGCGAAGGCGUUCCGGGAAAUAGCCCCAGCGCGAGACCGUACCCGAAACCGACACAGGUGGACUGGUAGAGCAUACCAAGGCGCUUGAGAGAACGAUGCUGAAGGAACUCGGCAAAAUACCCUCGUAACUUCGGGAGAAGAGGGCCCGGGCCUUGGGCAACCAGGGUCCGGGGGCACAGACCAGGGGGUGGCGACUGUUUACUAAAAACACAGGGCUCUGCGAAGCCGCAAGGCGACGUAUAGGGUCUGACGCCUGCCCGGUGCCGGAAGGUUAAGAGGAGGGGUGCAAGCCCUGAAUCGAAGCCCCGGUAAACGGCGGCCGUAACUAUAACGGUCCUAAGGUAGCGAAAUUCCUUGUCGGGUAAGUUCCGACCUGCACGAAUGGCGUAACGACUUCCCCGCUGUCUCCAACAUCGACUCAGCGAAAUUGAAUUCCCCGUGAAGAUGCGGGGUACCCGCGGUUAGACGGAAAGACCCCGUGCACCUUUACUACAGCUUUGCAGUGGUAUUAGGGGAUGGAUGUGUAGGAUAGGUGGGAGGCUUUGAAGCCGCGGCGCCAGCCGGGGUGGAGCCACCCUUGAAAUACCACCCUUCUGUUCUCUGAUAUCUAACCGCGCCCGGUGAACCCGGGUCCGGGACCCUGCAUGGCGGGUAGUUUGACUGGGGCGGUCGCCUCCCAAAGAGUAACGGAGGCGCGCGAUGGUGGGCUCAGGCUGGUCGGAAAUCAGCCGUUGAGUGCAAUGGCAUAAGCCUGCCUGACUGCGAGACUGACAAGUCGAGCAGAGACGAAAGUCGGUCAUAGUGAUCCGGUGGUCCCACGUGGAAGGGCCAUCGCUCAACGGAUAAAAGGUACGCCGGGGAUAACAGGCUGAUCUCCCCCAAGAGUCCACAUCGACGGGGAGGUUUGGCACCUCGAUGUCGGCUCAUCACAUCCUGGGGCUGGAGCAGGUCCCAAGGGUAUGGCUGUUCGCCAUUUAAAGUGGUACGUGAGCUGGGUUUAGAACGUCGUGAGACAGUUCGGUCCCUAUCUGCCGUGGGUGUCGGAGAAUUGAGAGGAUCUGUCCCUAGUACGAGAGGACCGGGAUGUGGGGCCUGUUUUGGAGCGGGCCAGCCGCAAGGGAGGGUAGGGAGGAGCGGGGAGACCGAUAAAGGCAUCUAGCCAAACCCCCGAGAACCCUCUUCACCCUCGAGAACGGGGAACACCUGCCUAGGUGGGGGGUGGGGGGGGGGCGCGGUGACGCGGAGCUUACCAGUACUAAUAGCUCGAUCGGCUUGAUCGC